rnacentral:piRNA from 1 species
CGUGAAUGGACACCUAACCCUGAUGGAC